rnacentral:lncRNA from 1 species
AUGGCACAGGAUCGAAUGUCACAUCUUUACUAUAUAACAGGAGUUCUAUACAAAAUAAAUAGAUAAUUACAUUAUAGGGAGACAACGGUCCAGCAACCCAAAGUUGACUGGGAGACGAUGACCUAGACCUCUCACGAACUCAUCACAGCAUCCUCCAUGAGCAUCAUCCUGCAGUACCUGUUCUUGACCUGUGGGGGGGUGUGAGACAGCAAGAGUGAGCUCACAUACGUUCAUCGCUCAGCAAGUUGUGGGGAAUAAUGUGCAUGAACUCGCCAAAGGCGGGAGCUCAUGUGAAGUGUAAGGCUUACCAAAGAGGAUGGUUAGAGCUGAGCAUUGCUUUUAAAGUUGGUCAAAAUUUUAUUAGCAAUUACUAAGUAUAAGUAAAUACCAGCCCAGUUAAAUAGUAGAACAAAAGUAAUAACCUCACCUGCGAUGCAAUGCAUAUGACAAAUUGAGUUUAAGUUCCAUAAUUUAAUCAUGUGAGGGUCCGAGCUGCUCAUGACCGUGAGCACGGCUAGUAUACCAGUUUUACACUCUGCAGAGGUGGCGCAUCUUUACCCACAAGUCAUGUUACCCAUCUGCCAAGGGAUCGCGACUUCCCAUACACCUCUACCGAGGAGGCGAGGCAGGGUAACACUACGAGGCCUUUACAAAGUUCCACUAGCUUCAGAAAACCCGCUACAGUUUAUAGGAAGCUCCAAUGCAGGAAUCCCUUGCAGGACCGCCAUCACAGCAAAAUCCUCCCGAGGGCCUCCCCAGGAAUCCCUUGCAGGACCGCCAUCACAGCAAAAUCCUCCCGAGGGCCUUCCCAGGAAUCCCUUGCAGGACCGCCAUCACAGCAAAAUCCUCCCGAGGGCCUCCCUACACUGACCACUCCCCUACUGCCCUUGCCCCUUUCGGGUAAGGUAGUCCUCCACUAGCUUUCCUAAUUAAUCAGCCAAGGGCGUCCCAUUAAACCCUUGUGGUAGCACUGUUUUCCCGGGUGGUUCUCCAUGUUCCAAUUAACAUAAUGAUCUUAUCAUGAACAGUAAUAAUAAACAGAUAAUAACAGUGUGAUCAUGAAUAAUGUAUCCUCAUACCCAAAACCACAUAAAAGCACUAGCAAGUACUACCCAAAAAGUUCAGUGGUAAACAAGGUAUAAAGAUAAUCAAACUAGGGUAACCUAUUGGGUCCCAUCAAAAUUAACCUAUGCAGAUCAUUAUGAUUAAUUAGAACAUGAGUGGGUAAAAGAAGUGAUCAAGGGCACAACUUGCCUGAGACUUGAGAUUCCAGGUACCAGGAUGAUCUUCAGGUGACUCGUGACCUCACACUAGUCGUAGCAAUACAAACAAAUAUGGUAUAGGCAAAAUUAACAUCACAACAAACAUAAGAAUAAACUGAGUAAUAAUAAUCUACGCGUUGCUACGAGACUAACGCAACUGGAACGAGUCAAAUCGGAUUUAAAAUGAAGGAGAUACGGAUUUCCUAAGGUUUUAUGUAUUUGAUACAAGAUUAGUUAAGAAAUAAAUUUUAAUACCAUUUUCAUGUUAAAACAGAGGUGCUAUGUAAUGAACAACAUUAUUACAAAAUUUUAGGAACUGGAAUGAAGUAAUUUGGAGUUCAUAUGCAUUUUCUAUGAAUUAUUGAAGUUCUAGGGUUUAUUUUCAUAUUAAAAAUCCAAUUUCCAAUUCAUUUAAUCAAUUUAACUCGGCUCUGGACUGGGCGCAAUAAAUCUGAGAAAGACAGGGGCCUUAGCGCAAUUUAUCUGAAGACUCAGACUUAAUCCCCGCGCGGAUGGCGGGUUGGUUUCAAAGUUUGGCGGGGUUUCUUUUGUAAAACGUACCCGCGAAGGGGUACGGGCCAAUCCCGGCCGUUGGAUUAAAGUUCUACGGCUACGAUUAGACCGGCUUCGAAACGAAUCGGUACCCAGUAGGCACCGCACGAUUACAAAUCUACGGUUUGGAUUUAAAAUCCCCUGCGAUCGCCCCGACCCGUCCGAUCGCGAUCGGACGAUCCGCAUUUACCCUGGCCUGAUCCGCCCUCCCGAUCUAACCUGCACCCUUGAUUGCUCAAUCGACGGCUAGGCUCUCAUCCCCAACCACACGCCACGGCAGCGAGGUUGCCGCACGCGCUACGGCGGCGCUCCUCGCCGGAGUAACCGGAUACGGCAAUUCAGGGCCCCAGAGUCCGAUUGUAGGUAAACUAUACAAAUGCAGAGCUACGGUGAGACAUAGGGGAAGUUGUUACCGGCAAUUGGAACCGUGUUGCGGCCAGUCGACGGUGCAAAGCGGAUCCGAGGCGGAGCUGGGACACCGGUGAGCAAUCGAGGUGGCCCGAGCCAACCACAAGUCCAAAAUAGUCGGCGAUGAGGUUGCGCACGAAUCCGCGAGUUCCUCCGGGCACAAAACAGGGGGGGCGGCGAUAUGGUGCGAAGUUUUGGCGGCGGCGGCACCCGACAAUAGAGAUUCAGUUCCGGUGAAAUUUCGGUGACAGAGAGAGCCAUCCCGCCCGGCGUCGCCAUAACGAGCUUCAACGCGCCCUGGAGAUCUUCGAUGACCAUGCCACGCACACCGAGCGAAGGUAGAUGAGCGGAAUCACGACGACGGCAAGAAUAGCCGCGGCGGCAUCCACUCCUCUCUCAGAUUUGGUCUACGGGGAUGGCUCCCAGCACGAGGCGCCUCGGUUGAUUGUGAGGGGAGGCGGCCACGCUCAUAUACCGUCCAGGGGAGGUUAGAAUCCCGCGAUGCUCGUGAUUCAGCUGCAACAGACGCGGGUUCGCCGGCAAGGUUUGUUACGGAGAGUUCCGCAUCCUGGGCGCGCGACGCGGAGGAGACGGGUCCGACUCUAGGGCCCCACGCGUCAGUGUCACCAAGGGGAGGUAGGCGCGCAGGUGAACAGCUGGGCCGCGCGCGGGGAAAAGCGGGAGGUGGGCCGCGCGCGGAAGGAAGUGAAGUGGGCCAAAGAGGUGGUUUGGGCCCAUGCACGUUUUUCACCUUUCCCUUUUUAUUUUCCUUUUUCUGAAUUUACUUUCCUCUUUGUUUUUAUAAUUCAAAUUUGAAUUCAAUUCAAAUUGUAAGAUUAUACUCAUUUUAAAUGUACACAUUGAAACUAAUAAUAUGAAAGGUCCAAUUAUUUUUAUAUCUAUUUAUUUAUUAUUAUUUUUUUUAUAUAACAUUUUCCUUCUCUUCUCUAACCUCUAAUUUGCAAACUAGGGUUAAAUUCCCAAACUUUGGUAUUAAUAUAUUACUUUUAUAUUGUCACAGAAGGCACACAAAAUAAAAUUCCAGCAUGAUGCAUAAUUUAGUGGCACAUCAUUUAUUAAUUAUUUGUUUUUACAUAUGAUAUUCACAUGUGAUGAUAAGUAUAGUUCACAAAAUAUUGGGCUCUCCUCUAUUUUCACUAUUUACAUUUUUUGGGUAUUACAAAUCCUACCCCCCUUAAAAAUAAUCUCGUCCUCGAGAUUUGUAAGAAAAGGGAUAUAAAAGAAUUGGUUUGUGAUUUUAGCCUUUAAUUUCUAAUUGGUUCAAAAAUUCAGAGUUUCACAUUUUUUCCAUAGUGGGUGAUUUAGGAGAGCAUAGGUAUCCAACUACUUAUUAUGUAGGAUAUAAGAGAUGGAUAGGUUAGGGAAAGAAUAGUUUGGUGAUAAGAAGGUUCAUGGUAAGGAAAGCUUUUCAUCGCAAAUGAUGGGUCUUAUCUCAUUUGGAGAUCUGGUCUGCCUCCCUUCUUGCCUUGACGUUGAUCUUUUCCUUUCUUUCGGUCUUGGUGUCUCCAGCUAGGUUUUAGGGUCAUGUAGAUAUAUGUGGGUAGGAUAAGCCACAUGAGGUAGGUCAAGAUCUGGUUUGAUGUUUAGGUUGGAAUGGAUGGUUUAGACAACCCAUCGUGUAUGUUAAGUAGUUGUGUACGGCCAAGUUGUUAUAAGGCAUCAAUUUAGGUUAAAACGUAGCUAGUAGUGUCUAAUCUAUUUCACCAGUAUUAAUUAUCAUGUUUAAGUAGCCACAUUAGAUUAGAUCAUAUAAGAUUAGAUGGGAUCUAGAUUAGAUUGGUAUGACUAUAUUAAACUAGUUAGUGUCUAAUUACUUUGGAUUAGAUCAUGGUUAUUACUAGUGUAGGGUAAAUAUGCUUAUUGGGGUAAGAUGAAUUCAUAAGGAUAAGGUAGAAUCUUUUGAGGUCAGAUAAGAUAAAUCUUUUCAAGAUAAGAUGAGAAUCUAUUUUCUUUUAGGAUAAGAUGGAUCUAUGAGUGUGGGAUAGACUUUUUCAAGAUAAGAUGGAUUUUGCUAGGCUAGAUUCCUAGUUUAUUUGGAUAUUUUUAUAACGGUUUUUUUUUUUUAUAUGUAUAUGCAGAUGUGAUUGUGGACAUUACUCCACAACUCAUCACACUCAAUCAAAAAUCCAAAUCAAACAAGUAUCAUAAGAACAAACAUUCAAGUGCAUAGAUAACUAUAUAAAAAAAUUAGUUUUGUUUUUGUUCCUAGGAGUAGGUCUCCUAUUCCUAAAAGUCACUUUAGGCACAAGAUUUCAAAGUGUGAAAUCCACAUUUGCCUUUAGGAAAGAAAAGAUAAGAAUAAUCAGAGUAAAGCGGAAAUAGAUGAGAAAUGAUCAAUAUAAGCUUAGGAAAGAAUCAGAGUAAGGUAAGUAGGUAAGGGUUGUCCAAUUCUAUCUAGGUUUCGUCCUACAGUCAACAUUCCUCUGAUACCACUUCUGUAACACCCGGGUUUUAGGGGUCCAAAGCCCGGGCGUAAACAUAAUCACCAGGUGUGCUGGGACCAAGUCUCACACAUAUGAUGAAUCAUGGCACAGGAUCGAAUGUCACAUCUUUACUAUAUAACAGGAGUUCUAUAUGUAAUACCCAAAAAAUGUAAAUAGUGAAAAUAGAGGAGAGCCCAAUAUUUUGUGAACUAUACUUAUCAUCACAUGUGAAUAUCAUAUGUAAAAACAAAUAAUUAAUAAAUGAUGUGCCACUAAAUUAUGCAUCAUGCUGGAAUUUUAUUUUGUGUGCCUUCUGUGACAAUAUAAAAGUAAUAUAUUAAUACCAAAGUUUGGGAAUUUAACCCUAGUUUGCAAAUUAGAGGUUAGAGAAGAGAAGGAAAAUGUUAUAUAAAAAAAAUAAUAAUAAAUAAAUAGAUAUAAAAAUAAUUGGACCUUUCAUAUUAUUAGUUUCAAUGUGUACAUUUAAAAUGAGUAUAAUCUUACAAUUUGAAUUGAAUUCAAAUUUGAAUUAUAAAAACAAAGAGGAAAGUAAAUUCAGAAAAAGGAAAAUAAAAAGGGAAAGGUGAAAAACGUGCAUGGGCCCAAACCACCUCUUUGGCCCACUUCACUUCCUUCCGCGCGCGGCCCACCUCCCGCUUUUCCCCGCGCGCGGCCCAGCUGUUCACCUGCGCGCCUACCUCCCCUUGGUGACACUGACGCGUGGGGCCCUAGAGUCGGACCCGUCUCCUCCGCGUCGCGCGCCCAGGAUGCGGAACUCUCCGUAACAAACCUUGCCGGCGAACCCGCGUCUGUUGCAGCUGAAUCACGAGCAUCGCGGGAUUCUAACCUCCCCUGGACGGUAUAUGAGCGUGGCCGCCUCCCCUCACAAUCAACCGAGGCGCCUCGUGCUGGGAGCCAUCCCCGUAGACCAAAUCUGAGAGAGGAGUGGAUGCCGCCGCGGCUAUUCUUGCCGUCGUCGUGAUUCCGCUCAUCUACCUUCGCUCGGUGUGCGUGGCAUGGUCAUCGAAGAUCUCCAGGGCGCGUUGAAGCUCGUUAUGGCGACGCCGGGCGGGAUGGCUCUCUCUGUCACCGAAAUUUCACCGGAACUGAAUCUCUAUUGUCGGGUGCCGCCGCCGCCAAAACUUCGCACCAUAUCGCCGCCCCCCCUGUUUUGUGCCCGGAGGAACUCGCGGAUUCGUGCGCAACCUCAUCGCCGACUAUUUUGGACUUGUGGUUGGCUCGGGCCACCUCGAUUGCUCACCGGUGUCCCAGCUCCGCCUCGGAUCCGCUUUGCACCGUCGACUGGCCGCAACACGGUUCCAAUUGCCGGUAACAACUUCCCCUAUGUCUCACCGUAGCUCUGCAUUUGUAUAGUUUACCUACAAUCGGACUCUGGGGCCCUGAAUUGCC